UGGUGGAGUGAUUUGUCAGGUCUAUUCCGGUAACGAGCGAGACCGCCGAGCCGAUGGCUGACGGGCUGUGCAAGCAGCAGGAGGCGGCGGCGAUAACA
rnacentral:rRNA from 1 species